ensembl:snRNA U6 U6 spliceosomal RNA
GUGCUCACUCGACAGUACACAUACUAAAAUUGGAAUGAUACAGAGAUUACCAUGGCCCCUGUGCAAGGAUGACAUGCAAAUUCGUGAAGCGUUACAUAUUUUU